ACGCUUGCUUUGGCAGCGCAUAUACUAAAAUUGGAACAAUACAGAGACUAGCAUGGCCCCUGCACAAGGAUGACAUGCAAAUUCGUGAAGCGUUCCAUAUUUUU